UCUUAGCCCUGAUGGAAGCGGCAUCCUUUUUUGUUGCGAACGCAGCGAAGCGGAGAUCGUGACAAAAAAGAUACAGCGGACAGCAGGUUCCCGG
rnacentral:sRNA from 1 species